rnacentral:misc_RNA from 1 species
UCAAAGAUGGCGGCCGCUACUGAAGGAGGAACGGUGACNGUUCGUUUUAUAAGAUCCUUAGAAUACAGAAACUUUAAAACUNUUACCUUUCACAAUGUGGAUUUGGAUCAGACAACGGAGCAAUUUAUUUUCUUUGCUUUGAAAGAUAUCAAACACAGAACUGGCAUUCCACCACCAUUCAAGGCAUUUGCUUAUGAUACUUUAAAAAUUCAACACAAAGCCCAUGGGGCAAAGACAAAUGAUCCAAUCAUUCGAACGGAUGAUGAUGAGUCAUUGAUUCUAAAAAGUGGUUUAACAUUGAACGAGAGUGGUGUAGAAAAUGAAACAGAAUUGUCAUUUUUUAAGUUUAAAGACUAUUUAGAGUACAAAAAGAAUCCUGUUCUCAAGUGGUAGAAGAAUACUAAUGUCAUGGCCAUCCAUGCCAGAUUGCAAUACUUUCUGCCUUACAGAAGAGUCUCAGAAAUCAUGAGGCUCGCCAAUGCUCCCAAGCUUGGCGCUUAAAAGAAAGGGGCUCUUUAAAACGAGGGGCUCGCAGUCUCAGUGAGGCUCGAAUUUUACCAUUGAAUACCCCUAAUGGAACAUUAGAUAUGGCAAAAAAAAUUCUACUUUUAGCUAAACAAGAAAGCAAUGGAAUCAAAUUUAUUUUUUUGGGUUGACAUUUAAUAACAGUCGUUCUAGGGAUCAAAACUUUGUAAAAAGAAAUAAAUGUAUAGAUAUCAUAAUAAAUUU